rfam:Equus caballus chromosome 13, whole genome shotgun sequence.
GGAUGUGAGGGCCAUCUGGCUGCAACAUCUGUCACCCCACUGAUCCCCAGGGUUGAUUCGGCUGAUCUGGCUGCCUGGGGGGGUGUUGCCUUUCUCCCUCACUGCUCCACGUGCAUCCCUCUUGAAGCUGCGUGUUCAGUCAAAGAAUAUGACCUUCCCCAAUGGAGGAGGACCGUUCUUCCAUCAAGGGUAUAUGAGUAGCUGCACUCCCCUGCUGGAACCUCCAAAUAAGCUCUCGAGGGCCAUUUGUAGGAGAACGUAGGGUAGUCAAGCUUCCAAGACUCUAGACACAUCCACACACACAGACUGUCGCCUGUGGCAGUCUGCUUUUCUUU